GAAGGCUGCAUACGUGGCUGGUGUGA
rnacentral:piRNA from 1 species